rnacentral:rRNA from 1 species
GAUGAACGCUGGCGGCGUGCUUAACACAUGCAAGUCGAACGGACAGGCCCUGCUCUUGUGGGGUGCUCGAGUGGCGAACGGGUGAGUAAAACGCGAGUAACCUGCACUUGAAUUUGGGAUAACUUCAGGAAACUGGGGCUCAUACAGGAUAGGAGCUCCUGAUGCGUGGUGGGGGUUGGAAAGUUUCGGCGGUUGGGGAUGGACUCGCGGCUUAUCAGCUUGUUGGUGGGGUAGUGGCUUACCAAGUCUUUGACGGGUAGCCGGCCUGAGAGGGUGACCGGCGACAUUGGGACUGAGAUACGGCCCAGACUCCUACGUGAGGCAGCAGUGGGGAAUCUUGCACAAUGGGCGGAAGCCUGAUGCAGCAACGCCGCGUGCGGGAUGACGGCCUUCGGGUUGUAAACCGCUGUCGCCGGUGACGAAGCGGGAGUGACGGUAAUGGGUAAAGAAGCACCGGCUAACUACGUG